GUGCUGGCUAUAGUAACACAUAUGUUAAAACUGGAAAAACAUAGAGAAAAUUAGUGUGGCUCUAGUGAAAGGACGACAUGCAACAUCGUGAUGCUUCUUGUAUUUCC
ensembl:snRNA U6 U6 spliceosomal RNA